UUCCGGGUCGUCCAACGGCAGGACGCCGGGACUUGGACCCGGAGAGGAGGUUCGAUUCCUGCCCCCGGAGC
rnacentral:tRNA from 1 species